CCUACGGGCGGCUGCAGUGGGGAAUUUUGGACAAUGGGCGCAAGCCUGAUCCAGCCAUGCCGCGUGUCUGAAGAAGGCCUUCGGGUUGUAAAGGACUUUUGUUAGGGAAGAAAAGAAAUGGGUUAAUACCCCAUUUUGCUGACGGUACCUAAAGAAUAAGCACCGGCUAACUACGUGCCAGCAGCCGCGGUAAUACGUAGGGUGCGAGCGUUAAUCGGAAUUACUGGGCGUAAAGCGAGCGCAGACGGUUUGUUAAGCAGGAUGUGAAAUCCCCGGGCUCAACCUGGGAACUGCGUUCUGAACUGGCAAGCUAGAGUGUGUCAGAGGGGGGUAGAAUUCCACGUGUAGCAGUGAAAUGCGUAGAGAUGUGGAGGAAUACCGAUGGCGAAGGCAGCCCCCUGGGAUAACACUGACGUUCAUGCUCGAAAGCGUGGGUAGCAAACAGGAUUAGAUACCCUAGUAGUC
rnacentral:rRNA from 1 species